rnacentral:rRNA from 1 species
UACAGAGGGGGCAAGCGUUGUUCGGAAUUACUGGGCGUAAAGGGCGCGUAGGCGGCCUGCUAAGUCGAACGUGAAAUCCCCGAGCUCAACUCGGGAACUGCGUCCGAUACUGGCAGGCUUGAAUCCGGGAGAGGGAUGCGGAAUUCCCGGUGUAGUGGUGAAAUGCGUAGAUAUCGGGAGGAACACCAGUGGCGAAAGCGACCUUCUGGGCUGCACCUGACACUCUAGUGCGAAAGCGUGGGGAGCAAACAGG